AUUGAACGCUGGCGGCAGGCCUAACACAUGCAAGUCGAACGGUAACAGGAAGCAGCUUGCUGCUUUGCUGACGAGUGGCGGACGGGUGAGUAAUGUCUGGGAAACUGCCUGAUGGAGGGGGAUAACUACUGGAAACGGUAUCUAAUACCGCAUAACGUCGCAAGACCAAAGAGGGGGACCUUCGGGCCUCUUGCCAUCGGAUGUGCCCAGAUGGGAUUAGCUAGUAGGUGGGGUAACGGCUCACCUAGGCGACGAUCCCUAGCUGGUCUGAGAGGAUGACCAGCCACACUGGAACUGAGACACGGUCCAGACUCCUACGGGAGGCAGCAGUGGGGAAUAUGGCAGAAGGGGCGCAAGCCUGAUGCAGCCAUGCAGCGUGUAUGAAGAAGGCCUUCGGGUUGUAAAGUACUUUCAGCGGGGAGGAAGGGAGUAAAGUUAAUACCUUUGCUCAUUGACGUUACCCGCAGAAGAAGCACCGGCUAACUCCGU
rnacentral:rRNA from 1 species